rnacentral:rRNA from 1 species
AUUGAACGCUGGCGGCAGGCCUAACACAUGCAAGUCGAACGAGUGGCGGACGGGUGAGUAAUGUCUGGGAAACUGCCUGAUGGAGGGGGAUAACUACUGGAAACGGUAGCUAAUACCGCAUACCAUCAGAUGUGCCCAGAUGGGAUUAGCUAGUAGGUGGGGUAACGGCUCACCUCGGCGACGAUCCCUAGCUGGUCUGAGAGGAUGACCAGAAACACUGGAACUGGGACACGGUCCAGACUCUGACGGGAUGCAGCAGUGGGGAAGAUUGCACAAUGGGCGCAAGCCUGAUGCAGCCAGGCCGCGUGUAGGAAGAAGGCCUUCGGGUUGUAAAGUACUUUCAGCGGUGAGGCGUUACCCGCAGAAGAAGCACCGGCUAACUCCGUGCCAGCAGCCGCGGUAAUUC